GCUGGGCAUGGUGGCGCAUGCCUGUAAUCCCAGCUACUUGGGAGGCUGAGGCAGGAGAAUUGCUUGAACCCAGGAGGCGGAGGUUGCAGUGAGCCGAGAUCGCGCCAUUGCACUCCAGCCUGGGUAACAAGAGCGAAACUCCGUCUCAA
ensembl:misc_RNA Metazoa_SRP Metazoan signal recognition particle RNA